rnacentral:siRNA from 1 species
AUAGCGUUUUUACAACGAGUGCAA